rnacentral:rRNA from 1 species
UACGUAGGGUGCAAGCGUUGUCCGGAAUUACUGGGCGUAAAGCGCACGUAGGCGGCUCAGCAAGUCAGGGGUGAAAGUCCCGGGGCUCAACCCCGGAACUGCCUCUGAAACUGCUAGGCUAGAAUCUUGGAGAGGCGAGUGGAAUUCCGAGUGUAGAGGUGAAAUUCGUAGAUAUUCGGAAGAACACCAGUGGCGAAGGCGAACUCGCUGGACAAGUAUUGACGCUGAGGUGCGAAAGCGUGGGGAGCAAAC